rnacentral:rRNA from 1 species
GAUUGGUGUAACAGAAAAGGGGGUAGCGACUGUUUAUUAAAAACACAGGACUUUGCUAAAUAGUAAUAUGACGUAUAAGGUCUGACGUCUGCCCGGUGAUGGUUAAUGAAAAAAAAGGUUUAAAUGUUCUUUAAGCUUUUGAUAUAAGUCCCAUUAAACGGCGGCUGUAACCCUGACGGUCCUAAGGUAGCGAAAUUCCUUGUCAAUUAAGUAUUGACCCGCAUGAAUGACGUAACGACUUCCCCACUGUCUCCAGAAUUGAUCCAGUGAAAUUACAAUUUACGUGAAGAUGCGUAAUAUUUACAGCGGGACGGAAAGACCCUAUGCACCUUUACUAUACUUUUAUAUUGAUUAGAAAACAACUUAAAACGAAGAAUAAUUAUAGUUAUAAUUAUAAUUUAGUUAUAGAGACAAGACGUGAAAUAAUAAAUUUUAAGUU